GUGGACCCCCUUUUAGCUAGGAUUUUAACGUUAGAGAUGGUUAGAUUCCCUUAUCUUCCCCAUCUUUUUUCUCCCUUACCUUUUUCCCUACUCUCACUUGUUCUUUUUCCUUUAAGCCUCUCCUUUUGUACUUAAUGAAAUGCGUGAUGCCCUCUCCCACCUUUUUAUUGACAAAAUAUUCAAGCCUUGGUUCCGGAGCCAUACUUUAGACUAUAGGACCACGUCCCAAAGAGGGGUGCAAGUGGAUCAAAUGGAAUCAGAUCAGAAAUGAUCGUAACCUAAUCUAAUUUUUUUGA
rnacentral:lncRNA from 1 species